rnacentral:miRNA from 1 species
GUUCCCCAACCCAGUCCUCGUGGACUACCAACAGUUCAGUUUUUUUCAGUAUCUCCAUUGGAAUAAAACAUGGAAAUACAUAAAUCCUGGACUGUUGGUGGUCCACGAGGACUGGGUUGGGGAA